GAUGAACGCUGGCGGCGUGCCUAAUACAUGCAAGUCGAGCGAACAGACGAGGAGCUUGCUCCUCUGACGUUAGCGGCGGACGGGUGAGUAACACGUGGAUAACCUACCUAUAGGACUGGGAUAACUUCGGGAAACCGGAGCUAAUACCGGAUAAUAUAUUGAACCGCAUGGUUCAAUAGUGAAAGACGGUUUUGCUGUCACUUAUAGUUGGAUCCGCGCCGCAUUAGCUAGUUGGUAAGGUAACGGCUUACCAAGGCAACGAUGCGUAGCCGACCUGAGAGGGUGAUCGGCCACACUGGAACUGAGACACGGUCCAGACUCCUACGGGAGGCAGCAGUAGGGAAUCUUCCGCAAUGGGCGAAAGCCUGACGGAGCAACGCCGCGUGAGUGAUGAAGGUCUUCGGAUCGUAAAACUCUGUUAUUAGGGAAGAACAAAUGUGUAAGUAACUAUGCACGUCUUGACGGUACCUAAUCAGAAAGCCACGGCUAACUACGUG
rnacentral:rRNA from 1 species